rnacentral:rRNA from 1 species
GUCCACGCCGUAAACGAUGCUAACUCGUUUUGGGCUUUAGGGUUCAGAGACCAAGCGAAAGUGAUAAGUUAGCCACCUGGGGAGUACGCUCGCAAGAGUGAAACUCAAAGGAAUUGACGGGGCCCGCACAAGCGGUGGAUUAUGUGGUUUAAUUCGAUGAUACGCGAGGAACCUUACCAAGACUUAAAUGGGAAUUGACAGGUUUAGAAAUAGAUCUUUCUUCGGACAAUUUUCAAGGUGCUGCAUGGUUGUCGU